rnacentral:rRNA from 1 species
GACGAGUGGCGGACGGGUGAGUAAUGUCUGGGGAUCUGCCCGAUGGAGGGGGAUAACCACUGGAAACGGUGGCUAAUACCGCAUAACGUCGCAAGACCAAAGUGGGGGACCUUCGGGCCUCACACCAUCGGAUGAACCCAGAUGGGAUUAGCUAGUAGGUGGGGUAACGGCUCACCUAGGCGACGAUCCCUAGCUGGUCUGAGAGGAUGACCAGCCACACUGGAACUGAGACACGGUCCAGACUCCUACGGGAGGCAGCAGUGGGGAAUAUUGCACAAUGGGCGCAAGCCUGAUGCAGCCAUGCCGCGUGUAUGAAGAAGGCCUUCGGGUUGUAAAGUACUUUCAGCGGGGAGGAAGGGGACGAGGUUAAUAACCUCGUUCAUUGACGUUACCCGCAGAAGAAGCACCGGCUAACUCCGUGCCAGCAGCCGCGGUAAUACGGAGGGUGCAAGCGUUAAUCGGAAUUACUGGGCGUAAAGCGCACGCAGGCGGUCUGUUAAGUCAGAUGUGAAAUCCCCGGGCUUAACCUGGGAACUGCAUUUGAAACUGGCAGGCUUGAGUCUUGUAGAGGGGGGUAGAAUUCCAGGUGUAGCGGUGAAAUGCGUAGAGAUCUGGAGGAAUACCGGUGGCGAAGGCGGCCCCCUGGACAAAGACUGACGCUCAGGUGCGAAAGCGUGGGGAGCAAACAGGAUUA